CGGGACUUGGCGAGUCAGGCGGUUCUACAUCGUAUCCAACUGGCUCUCUAAGUCCUGAC
rnacentral:pre_miRNA from 1 species